UCACAACCAAAUCUUGGGUUCGGGAGUCGAUUAUGCGAAGGGAAGGUAUUAGCACCCCCACGCAUCCGUAGUACUCUAUGGGAUCCACUCUUGUAGUUCUUGUCUAAAGGGUAUGGGUUAUCUAAUGUAUUAUUUACUAAAAAAAGGGUCAAAAGGAAAUGACUCGCACGGAUGUCGCAUCCACUGCAUACGUAUCCCAUCUGAAUAUGAGAAUCAGAGUCUUCGUAGCUCGGCUACCUAUGGGUUUGGAGGGAGUGUGUGCUCG
rnacentral:lncRNA from 1 species